rnacentral:rRNA from 1 species
AGGACGAACGCUGGCGGCGUGCCUAAUACAUGCAAGUCGAACGGUCUUUUCUAUGGAAGCUUGCUCCACUGAGAAGAUAGUGGCGAACGGGUGAGUAACACGUGGGUAACCUGCCCAUAAGAGGGGGGAUAACAUCCGGAAACGGGUGGCUAAUACCGCAUAGUUUUCUUGGUCGCAUGAUCGGGAAAGGAAAGACGGCCUUUGUGCUGUCGCUUAUGGAUGGACCCGCGGCGUAUUAGUUAGUUGGUGAGGUAACGGCUCACCAAGACGAUGAUACGUAGCCGACCUGAGAGGGUGAUCGGCCACAUUGGGACUGAGACACGGCCCAAACUCCUACGGGAGGCAGCAGUAGGGAAUCUUCCGCAAUGGACGAAAGUCUGACGGAGCAACGCCGCGUGAGUGAAAGAAGGUUUUCGGAUCGUAAAACUCUGUUGUCAGAGAAGAACAAGUUGGAGAGUAACUGCUCCAGCCUUGACGGUAUCUGACCAGAAAGCCACGGCUAACUACGUGCCAGCCGCCGC